GAGGGUACAGCUCAAGUGGUAGAGCACAUGCUUAGCAUGCACGAGGUCCUGGGUUUAAGUCCCAGUACUUCCA
rnacentral:tRNA from 1 species